rnacentral:rRNA from 1 species
CGCCUAACACAUGCAAGUCGAACGAAGUAGCAAUACUUAGUGGCAGACGGGUGAGUAACAUGUAGGUAUCUACCCUUUGGCCUGGAAUAACACGAGGAAACUUGUGCUAAUACCGGAUAAGUCUUUACGGAGAAAGCUUUAUGCACCAUUGGAUGAGCCUGCACUUGAUUAGUUUGUUGGUAGGGUAAUGGCCUACCAAGACUGUGAUCAAUAGCUGAUUUGAGAGGAUGAUCAGCCACAUUGGGACUGAGACACGGCCCAAACUCCUACGGGAGGCAGCAGUGGGGAAUCUUGCACAAUGGAGGAAACUCUGAUGCAGCGAUGCCGCGUGAGUGAAGAAGGCCUUUGGGUUGUAAAGCUCUUUCGUCGGGGAAGAAAAUGACUGUACCCGAAUAAGAAGGUCCGGCUAACUUCGUGCCAGCAGCCGCGGUAAUACGAAGGGACCUAGCGUAGUUCGGAAUUACUGGGCUUAAAGAGUUCGUAGGUGGUUGAAAAAGUUGGUGGUGAAAUCCCAGAGCUUAACUCUGGAACUGCCAUCAAAACUUUUCAGCUAGAGUAUGAUAGAGGAAAGCAGAAUUUCUAGUGUAGAGGUGAAAUUCGUAGAUAUUAGAAAGAAUACCAAUUGCGAAGGCAGCUUUCUGGAUCAUUACUGACACUGAGGAACGAAAGCAUGGGUAGCGAAGAGGAUUAGAUACCCUCGUAGUCCAUGCCGUAAACGAUGUGUGUUAGACGUUGGAAAUUUAUUUUCAGUGUCGCAGCGAAAGCGAUAAACACACCGCCUGGGGAGUACGACCG